GACGAACGCUGGCGGCGUGCCUAACACAUGCAAGUCGAACGAAGUAUGUUUUUCGAAAUAUACUUAGUGGCGGACGGGUGAGUGACGCGUGAGCAAUCUGCCCCAUACAGAGGAAUAGCCUCGGGAAACUGGGAUUAAAACCACAUGACGCUUAAGUAUCACAUGAUACAAAACCCAAAUUGAUUAAGAGGUAUGGGAUGAGCUCGCGUCUGAUUAGCUAGUUGGUGAGGUAAUGGCUCACCAAGGCGACGAUCAGUAGCCGGCCUGAGAGGGUGAGCGGCCACACUGGAACUGAGACACGGUCCAGACUCCUACGGGAGGCAGCAGUGGGGAAUAUUGCACAAUGGAGGAAACUCUGAUGCAGCGACGCCGCGUGAGUGAAGAAGGUCUUCGGAUCGUAAAACUCUGUCCUGGGUGAAGAUAAUGACGGUAGCCAAGGAGGAAGCCCCGGCUAACUACGUGCCAGCAGCCGCCGUAACAC
rnacentral:rRNA from 1 species